CAUUCCUUUUUAUAGACGAACGCAUCCACAAAGAGAUAAAAAGUUAUAUUUUCUAUCAGAAAUAUUACGUAUAAUUUUAGAAGCCGUAUUCAUUAAGAGUUUUCUAUUCUUGUUAAUGAGUACAAUGACCUCUCAAAGUCUCAGACCCUUACCCUUUCACACCCUACACAAAACCCAAGCCUUUAGAAUACCUUCGAAAUGACUCUCCGCUGUAAUAAACAAGCAACAAGUAGAAUUCAUUCGCAAUAAAAUAACUUAAAAGGUCGCCAUAAAAAGAUCAUCUUUGACGAAGGUUCCUGCACCCAGCAAAUCGAUCAGUUUAAAGAUUACAAAGUCAGUCGUUUAAAUCAGACAGGGACUACCCUUAGUUAUCUAUAACUGAAUCUCACAAACCUCCACCUAUACAUAUGUAUGUAAUGCUAUGAAAAGAACGAAUUGUCAAAGGCGACCUAACAUCCUAAUCCAGAAAAUCGCAACCAAGGGACAACAUAGAAAAGAACCAAAGGUUCGAAACAAGCAUUCUCGUCCUUUCAUUAAAAUAUGGCUACUUUUCCUAGGAGCUGCAUUCUCUCUCGUUAGAAAAUGUUAUAACAUUUAACCGAACCUCGUUGCUCACUUUGGUUUGCGUUUUUAAUUAUUACCGAGGGUCGAGCAAUUAAUUUUCAAAUAAUUAAUUCUGCUGCCUGCUGCUUCCAAAGAAUUUUUACAAUUGUAAAACUUGUAGUUUCAAUCCAACGUUGAUUGUUCUUUGCGAGCAUGAAGACUCCUGUUCUCGAUUGAAAGCAGACUGUAAGAUCGAUUCUUAGAAACUAUGAGAACUACGACAAGGUGAAAACAAUAGAACGUAUACGCAUUGGUAGCAAACGAACCUAUUUGUUAAUACACCGCCAAAUCUGUCGAAUCUAGUACAGCCCCGUUCGACUGGUCACCGUAUACACCUAGAUGCGUGUACAAUCAGGUGAGGCAUAGAAACAGGGCAGCUGGUGGAAGGUUCGAGGCGAAGGGUGGGCUCUCCGCCGCGAAGGUUGGCCGAGAAACGAGCCGAACGGGAGACGUCGGGACGACGAGGCAACGAAAAAGGAGCGGGAAAAUCGGUGAGAGACGGACGCAGAAGGGUUGUGGUAGAGCGAGACGAGGUAGACGUUAGUACGAGGUACUCUCUUUACAUCGGUUAAAAAAGGAUAGACAGAGGGUGCGGGCAGAGGACAGAGACGAGGACAGAGGGGUUAGCCAAGAGUAGGGGGUAAGAGAGAGUAGUAUCGUGUGGAGGGAGGGGAGGGUGGAGGGUGGAGAAGGACCUGCGCGCGAAUUUCCCGCGUUCGCUCAACCUCAUAUUGAUCCCACCCCAGUAACUCCCCGCAUCCUACUACUACUAGGCUAGAGGGUUGAAGAGAAGAGAGGGUUGGCGGGGUAGGAGGGUGCCGUAAGGGUAGGAGGUGGGUGGUUUAUCGGCGUAUACACAGUACGAGGGAGAGGACGGCGAAGAGAAUCAGAGGAACGCGAGGCUCCGGGUGGUCCAGCGCGAAAAGUCGUGUGCUGUUUCGAGCGUUGAAAACGCGUUCACGUAACAGAAGAAUAGUUGGCCCUCGCGGUACAUGUAACGUUUCGUUCAAUUUUACGUUUUAUAUAUCGCGAUUAUCGAGUUACCGAUGUAUUUAUGCGUCUCGUGAUUAUCAAUUAGUGCCGUGAACGUUGGUCCAUCGUCGGUGAUCGGGUCGAUCCUCGUUGCACUAUAUCUCUGAACGUGUUCGUGCGAUGAUUCGACGAGAGAGAGCCAGUAAGUUGGCGACGUGGUGCUAGAUUGUCGAUGCGGUACUCGCGACACCCUACUCGCCGACCUUCGUGAUUCUCGCUCCUCCGGUGUCUCCGCGUCAUCGAUCCUCUUUGGGUGACAGUGAUCGAGUCUUCGUUUCGGAAGGAUGUAAACUGGUGGAAUUUCUGGCAGUGGAGAAUAUCGAGGAAGAAACGGGAGGAGAAGAGACGCGUGAAUUGGAUCUGGAAGGAAGAAGAGUGUAUAUCUCGAAACAUGAAUAAACACGAAACCCUCCUAAAUUAAUCUGUACUUCGAGAAGAUCGAGAAUGAACGGAAAGUCGCGUGAUUAAGUGAAAGUCUAAAAGCACGCGAAUCUGUUGGAAGCUGUCUCUUCUUCGUAGUCUGGUUGAACGAGUGGCGAGAGAAUCGAAAGGCGUUCCAGAAGCGUAAAAAUAGGCACGGGCAUAUUUGUGUGAUGAUUCGAUGUACGACGGAAGAGAAUUCAAGGGUCAAGUUGCUGUUUUAUGAUUCCGUCCCGUUUCUCGAAAUAUCCACGUGAAAAGCAGGGAAGAAGGAACGAUCGCGGGCGUAGCGGUUCUUUUAAAGAACGAGCACGUGAAAGAUAAAGGUUGAGAAACUCGACGUCGAUUGCCUCAAAUGGAAGAACUAGCGUUUUCAUCCGAUCAACGUCAUCCGAUAUCUGGACGAUAAGUCAGCCAACUGAACGACCGCGAGAGCCGUCUCGUCGGAUUGUCCCCUCGAGAUCGAUCGAUUCGUCUAUUUUCCCUUGGUUUUUCGGUCGUUUGAGAGAUCACGAGGCUGGAUU